ensembl:snRNA U5 U5 spliceosomal RNA
UACUCUGGUUUCACUGCAAAGCUAAUCAAUCUUUCACCUUUUACUAAAGACGUCCAUGCAGAGGAAUAAUCAGAGAUUCAUUUAAUUUUUUGAUGGCCUGUUGAACUGCGGGGCU